CCUACGGGGGGCUGCAGUGGGGAAUAUUGCACAAUGGGGGAAACCCUGAUGCAGCAACGCCGCGUGAGUGAAGAAGGUUUUCGGAUUGUAAAGCUCUGUUAUCAGAGAAGAGGAAGGACGGUACCUGCAGAGGAAGCCACGCCUAACUACUGGCCAGCAGCCGCGGUAAUACGGAGGUGGAAAGCGUUGUUCGGAAUAACUGGGCGUAAAGUAUGCGUAGGCGGUUAAACAAGUUAUAUGUUAAAUAUAUAGGCUUAACUUGUAGAAAGCAUAUAAAACUGUUUAACUAGAGUGCAGGAGAGGUAAGUGGAAGUCCUAGUGUAGCGGUGAAAUGCGUAGAGAUUAGGAAGAACACCAGUGGCGAAGGCGACUUACUGGACUGUAACUGACGCUGAGGCAUGAGAGCAUGGGGAGCAAACAGGAUUAGAUACCCGAGUAGUC
rnacentral:rRNA from 1 species